UACGUAGGGUGCGAGCGUUAAUCGGAAUUACUGGGCGUAAAGCGUGCGCAGGCGGUUCGUUGUGUCGGCGGUGAAAGCCCCGGGCUCAACUUGGGAAUUGCGCUCGAAACUACGUGGCUCGAGUGUGGCAGAGGAAGGUGGAAUUCCACGUGUAGCGGUGAAAUGCGUAGAGAUGUGGAGGAACACCGAUGGCGAAGGCAGCCUUCUGGGCCAACACUGACGCUCAUGCACGAAAGCGUGGGGAGCAAACAGG
rnacentral:rRNA from 1 species